rnacentral:lncRNA from 1 species
UAUCCUUCCCCUCAUCCCUUUUUUUUUUCUUUCUUUGAGCAAGCAGAGAAAUUGCCUUUUCCCACCCUGUUUUAAUGACAGGAGCCAUGUGCCCCUUCCUGGAGCAGCUGCCAGAGGCUGUCCUAGUGCAGGAUCACCAGGCCAGCAGACUGACAGAAAAUAUGUAAGUAGGUUACAGGGGGGUGUGGGAGGCUGUUAAACACAGCAGGAUCUGCUGCACAGAGCACCUGUGAGGGGAGAGGCAGACACAGCAACACCUGCACUGCUCUCCUCUAACACAGCCUGGCCCUGCAGCCUGCCUUUGGGCCUGGGCUCCUUUGUAAAGGCUUUGGGGAGUUCAGGCAGACUUCAUCUUUUCUCACACAAUGUGUUUAAAUUUUAGGUUUUUAAGGGUGAUGUUUUGACAUUUCCCUAAAUAGCCUUAUCUUCUGGAGAGUGGUUCCUCUGGCCACCUGGAGAGCAUCUCUGGCAUUUGACUACCUAGAAAAUGGGGAUAAUGCUUGGAGCUGUCAAUGCAGGGACCAUUCACCAGUGCCUGGCAACCUUGCUGAAGUGACUGAAUUAUAUUCCCAUCAGCAGAAAGUAGGAAAUGAGUUACAGUGA